GAUGAACGCUGGCGGCGUGCCUAAUACAUGCAAGUCGAGCGAACGGACGAGAAGUUUGCUUCUCUGAUGUUAGCGGCGGACGGGUGAGUAACACGUGGAUAACCUACCUAUAAGACUGGGAUAACUUAGUGAAACCGUAGCUAAUACCGGAGAAUAUUUUGAACCGCAUGGUUCAAAAGUGAAAGACGGUCUUGCUGUCACUUAUAGAUGGAUCCGCGCUGCAUUAGCUAGUUGGUAAGGUAACGGCUUACCAAGGCAACGAUGCAUAGCCGACCUGAGAGGCUGAUAGGCCACACUGGAACUGAGACACGGUCCAGACUCCUACGGGAGGCCGCAGUGGGGAAUCUUCCGCAAUGGGCGAAAGCCUGACGGAGCAACGCCGCGUGAGUGAUGAAGGUCUUCGGAUCGUAAAACUCUGUUAUUAGGGAAGAACAUAUGUGUAAGUAACUGUGCACAUCUUGACGGUACCUAAUCAGAAAGCCCCGGCUAACUACGUG
rnacentral:rRNA from 1 species